CGACCGGCGCACGGGUGCGUAACGCGUAUGCAACCUACCUUUAACAGGGGGAUAACACUGAGAAAUUGGUACUAAUACCCCAUAAUAUCAUAGAAGGCAUCUUUUAUGGUUGAAAAUUCCGAUGGUUAGAGAUGGGCAUGCGUUGUAUUAGCUAGUUGGUGGGGUAACGGCUCACCAAGGCGACGAUACAUAGGGGGACUGAGAGGUUAACCCCCCACACUGGUACUGAGACACGGACCAGACUCCUACGGGAGGCAGCAGUGAGGAAUAUUGGUCAAUGGACGCAAGUCUGAACCAGCCAUGCCGCGUGCAGGAUGACGGCUCUAUGAGUUGUAAACUGCUUUUGUACGAGGGUAAACGCAGAUACGUGUAUCUGUCUGAAAGUAUCGUACGAAUAAGGAUCGGCUAACUCCGUGCCAGCAGCCGCGGUAAUACGGAGGAUCCAAGCGUUAUCCGGAUUUAUUGGGUUUAAAGGGUGCGUAGGCGGUUUGAUAAGUUAGAGGUGAAAUUUCGGGGCUCAACCCUGAACGUGCCUCUAAUACUGUUGAGCUAGAGAGUAGUUGCGGUAGGCGGAAUGUAUGGUGUAGCGGUGAAAUGCUUAGAGAUCAUACAGAACACCGAUUGCGAAGGCAGCUUACCAAACUAUAUCUGACGUUGAGGCACGAAAGCGUGGGGAGCAAACAGGAUUAGAUACCCUGGUAGUCCACGCAGUAAACGAUGAUAACUCGUUGUCGGCGAUACACAGUCGGUGACUAAGCGAAAGCGAUAAGUUAUCCACCUGGGGAGUACGUUCGCAAGAAUGAAACUCAAAGGAAUUGACGGGGGCCCGCACAAGCGGAGGAACAUGUG
rnacentral:rRNA from 1 species